rnacentral:rRNA from 1 species
CCUACGGGAGGCAGCAGUAGGGAAUCUUCCACAAUGGGCGAAAGCCUGAUGGAGCAACGCCGCGUGGGUGAAGAAGGUCUUCGGAUCGUAAAACCCUGUUGUUAGAGAAGAAAGUGCGUGAGAGUAACUGUUCACGUUUCGACGGUAUCUAACCAGAAAGCCACGGCUAACUACGUGCCAGCAGCCGCGGUAAUACGGAGGUGGCAAGCGUUAUCCGGAUUUAUUGGGCGUAAAGGGAACGCAGGCGGUCUGUUAAGUCUGAUGUGAAAGCCUUCGGCUUAACCGGAGUAGUGCAUUGGAAACUGGGAGACUGGAGUGCAGAAGAGGAGAGUGGAACUCCAGGUGUAGCGGUGAAAUGCGUAGAUAUAUGGAAGAACACCAGUGGCGAAAGCGGCUCUCUGGUCUGUAACUGACGCUGAGGUUCGAAAGCGUGGGUAGCAAACAGGAUUAGAUACCCCUGUAGUC